rnacentral:rRNA from 1 species
AAAAGUCGUAACAAGGUUUCCGUAGGUGAACCUGCGGAAGGAUCAUUAUCGUACAACGGAGGUGCCCAAGGCUGUCGCUGACCUUCACGGGUCGUGCACGCCCAAAGUGCUCUCUCUCACGUCCAUCUCACCCCUUUGUGCAUCACCACGUGGGCCUCCCCCCAUAUUGGGAGGGGUUCACGUUUUUACACAGACACCUUUUUUAAUGCAUGUGUAGAAUGUCUUACUUUUUGCGAUCACACGCAAUCAAUACAACUUUCAACAACGGAUCUCUUGGCUCUCGCAUCGAUGAAGAACGCAGCGAAAUGCGAUACGUAAUGUGAAUUGCAGAAUUCAGUGAAUCAUCGAAUCUUUGAACGCACCUUGCGCCCCUUGGUAUUCCGAGGGGCACACCCGUUUGAGUGUCGUGAACACCCUCAACCUUCUUGGUUUCUUGACCGGGAAGGCUUGGACUUUGGAGGUUUUCCUUUGCUGGCUUCCCUUUGAAGCCAGCUCCUCCUAAACGAAUUAGUGGGGUCCGCUUUGCUGAUCCUUGACGUGAUUAAGUACGCUUCUACGUCUUGGGUUUCGCACCGUUGGCCUGGAACCCGCUUCCAACAGUCUUCGAAAUGAAGACGAUGUUCGAGUCGCGUCGCGACUCGACCUCACCGACCUUGACCUCAAAUCGGGUGAGACUACCCGCUGAACUUAAGCAUAUCAAUAAGCGGAGGA